ACAGCAGCAGCCACGGUAAUACAGAGGGUGCAAGCGUUAAUCGGAAUUACUGGGCGUAAAGCGCACGCAGGCGGUUGGUUAAGUCAGAUGUGAAAGCCCCGGGCUCAACCUGGGAAUUGCAUUUGAAACUGGCCAACUAGAGUAUGUGAGAGGGGGGUAGAAUUCCAAGUGUAGCGGUGAAAUGCGUAGAGAUUUGGAGGAAUACCAGUGGCGAAGGCGGCCCCCUGGCACAAUACUGACGCUCAGGUGCGAAAGCGUGGGGAGCAAACAGGAUUAGAUACCCGUGUAGUCCCUGUCUCUUAUAA
rnacentral:rRNA from 1 species